GCGGCCUCUCACAGAGGAAGGGCAAGAGCUGCGCGGAGGCGGCCGGCUGGCCCCACAGGCCGGGCUGAGGCCGAGGAGGAGCCGCUGGGUCAGCCCGUUCACAGGGGACUCUCAGAGCCGCUCGAGGUUAUUCAAACUAAGUUGAAGAAGAAUUCAAGUGCUCUGGAAUUUCUCCAGUGUUUGAAAACUAAGUAUGAAUAUUAACAGUCCA